CACCGCGGUUAAACGAAAGGCCCUAGUUGAUACUACAACGGCGUAAAGGGUGGUUAGGACAUAAAAACAAUAAAGCCAAAUGGCCCCCUGGCCGUCAUACGCUUCUCCAGGCGUCCGAAGACCUAAUUUUAUACGAAAGUAGCUUUAACUAACCCGCCCGACCCCACGAAAGCUAAGAAA
rnacentral:rRNA from 1 species